CUUACUCCCCUCAAACAAAAAAGUAUGUCAAAAAAUUCAUAUAAAAACCAUGGUAGGUCGGAGUCCAGGAGCAAAAAGAGUUCCACACACACAUAUAUAUUUUCACAAUUCUCAAUUUUAAUGUGUAUUUUGAUUGACAUACAACAGUAACCAUGGAUACAUAUUGCAAUAACAGAAUAAGCAGAUGUGCUUCAAGAAGAAACAGCUGGGAUUUACCCUAACUACACACACACACCAAAGCUGUUUCAUGUGCUGGACUGAAGAUAGCUAAUUUCUCAAAAGAUUCUGUGUGUCUGAUUGUACUUCAAGUACAUCUAAUUUCUACCAAUUGUGAAUAAGUCUUUACUAGGAUCUCUUCUGGAAGAAUAUGUUCCUUCACCUAUGUUUACACUAAUACUAUUUACCACCAAUACAUAUUUUCGUAGAAAAUGAAACACGUAAUGAAGAAUAAAUAAUACCAAAAUUUUCCAUUUUCUUGUUUUGUCAUGUGUGUGUGUUUAUCGAGAUCAAGUAAGAAUUUUAUGUUACCACAAAAACCCCAUUACUGGCUUAGAAUUAAAGAAAGCAAUCAACACCAGCACUAGUGAGGUCACUAUGAAGCUUGCCUGACAAAGAUCCUCUGAAGCUAAUGGAUAAAGAAAGGGCCAGAACAGAAGAGGUUCUCGUUGCUAUGUAGCUACAUGACUACUCAAAUCAUAGAAGACAAGGUAAGAGAGACUGGGGUAGAGAUGGAAAGAGUGAGAAUAGUGGUAAUGAGGUGACUAUUUUGUUACAUGUAUUCCUGGGUCUCACUUUUCCAUAAGUUCCAUUCACAUUAAGUGAUGAGAACUUCUUGAUACAGCUAUUCUCAUCCAUAUUCAUCUCAUAUCUAUACCAUCAUAGUCUUCUUUCCUGCACACUACAUUUGAUUCCGCUUAUGCCCAAUUUUUUGAUCAGUACCUUUGUACUUUGUCGUGGAUGCACACCCAAUAGACCUGCAGCUUUACCUCUCUUCAUAUCUUUAAUUGCUUUAUCUACCACACUGCUGUCAACUUGAAUCAUUGGUCUCUCUGCAAGAUCAACAUGAAAUAGCCCCUCUAUUACCCACAUAUUUUCCACAUUCAGCAACCUCUUACAAUAGCAUUUUCAUGCCACUCUUUUGUCUUCCACAUCAAUGGUGAGGAUAUCUUCAUCAUUCCAAAUACACUCCUUUGUCCUCUCUCACAUACUGUCCUGCAAUCCUGAAUAAUUCAUGCCUCUGAUCCUCACAUUACAGGACAUGCACAAAUCUCAUUUGUUCUGCUUCAUCUUUAACUAUGCAUACUUGUCACAUAGCUGCUGUUUCUAGCCAUUUGAAAAUGCUCCCUACUACUACCUUCCUUCCAGGUUAUCCAAGCCUAUCGCUUAGCCUUUACUGCCUUGUCAACUGCUUCAUUCUAAUACUUUACUGAUAUAUAGUAGUUAAAAUGGCAAUAUCAAAGAAGCUAAAGGAAAUCUUGUUUAUAAGAAAGUGAAGAGAAGAAAAAAGUAGGAGAAAUAGUAUUCUUGAUAAUUUAAUAUAGAUAGGUUUAUGAAAAUCUAGGACAAUUUCAAUUGGUUGUUGACAAACACCCUAAGUGAUUUAAGUAUAUUUAUCAGAUAAUACUUUGCAAUUGAAGGACUUAAACAGUAUCUACGUUUAUCUUGGAUACUCAAUUAUGUUAUGGCAUUGUUGAAAUAUGAACAAAAUAGAGUUUACAGGCUAAGUAGUCAUUUAAAAUGUUAAAAUAACUAAUGAGAAACAACAUCUGUGUUCAUUGACUGAGAAGCCUAUGAAUACACCUGGCAAUUAUAGGGUUUACAAAAUAAACUUUAAUUCUUGAAUCCAGAAUUAUAAAAGAAAAAUGUUGAUUUAGUAAAUUUCCAUUUUUUACAUUAUGGCAAUUUUACAUUAUUACAAUUCUUUGUAAGUAAAGGAGAAAAAGAGCAUUCAAAAAUUCUACUUAAUUAUCGUUAAGAGACUAGCAUCAUAUUAAUGUCCAUCUAAUCAUAACACACAAUUGAGCACAUUCCCUUCACAAAAGUGUUAUAUUUCUAAAUGUACUCAUAGAACUUAUAUGGCACAGUUUCCUUUAUACAGGAGUAAAAUACAAAAAUACACCAGUAGUUAACUGCACAAAGAUGUAGAAUUCUAGAUAAGGAAAAUUUUCAAGUCUUGCUCUAAAACAAUUUUAGGAUUAUAAUCUAUUAGGGUUGAAAAAGAAAAUCAUAUGCUCUGACUGUUACAUAAUUUUCCUUAAAUGCUAUCUAUUAAGCCUACAUCUCUACACCUAAUAAGAGUUAGUAUCAGCCCAAUCUAUACCAUCUAACAAUUUAUUUUGUAUAUUGACUGAUAUAAAAUAUCUGACUUGAAGAUGACUGGGUUUACUGCACCCACAUUGAGGAGACCUAAAAUAAGAAAUCAUGAUCAUGCAAUUAUUAGAACCUACAUGUUCUCUUGGGGAUUAUAGCACAAAACUUUAGAGCCAAAUCAAAAAUAUUUUCAUAUAAAAAAAUGGAUAAUUCAUAAUUCUAUGAGACAUUGCAUAAUUUUUCAAAAUUACUAUUCAAAACAAACCAUAUGAUUUUAGUGCUAAAACCAAUAAAAUCUCUAUGACAAUAUCAAAACUUAUUCUAUCUUCACUACAAAACUUAUUCUCGACUUCUUUUCACCAAACCUCAUAUUUCCCGUUGUGAUGUUUGCGCUUAAACCUCUUGAUAGUUUCAAUAAGCAUUAAAUGGCUUCAGAAUCACUCUACAUGAACCAAACUUUUAACUAUUCCUCCCCUAUCCACAUGUUAAAAAGUUACAGCAUUCCCCAGUCUAUAACAGCAUCAUCCAAAGAAUACUACCCCUCACGCUCAAUCCAAAUAUAUAUUUAAAAAAUGCACAUACAUACAAAAACUGUAGUAGCUUCUCUAACCUCCUUAGCUUCAAUCACUGUCAUGAGAGUUAUAAUACCAAUGAUACAAAGAAUAACAAAUGUCAUAUUUCAACUGUGUCUACUUUAGUGACCUUUGCUUUGGUCACUACAAGAAGCUAUUGGUACACAAACCAAGGGAGCCUCUAUGCAGUCACUGGACCUGCAAGAUAUGACAGUAUUAUUUCCUUUAGAUCCCACUAUCUUAAAACAAGACUUCAUUAGAUAACGGUGUAGCAUACACUCGAGUGAAAUUCCUUUCCUCUCUAUUGUAUAUACAUACAUACGAACGUAAUAGAUAACAGCUAGCCUUUGGCCGCAUUUUGGACCCUGUUGUGUCCACUACUCUGAUUGGUUGGUAUUGGCGCAAUUUGUCUCUUACUCCAUCAUGCCAAUAUGCAGUGUAUAACCAAUCAAAGCCCCUAAAUAAGGUCACGUGUGACAGCCUCUUCUCAACUCAGUUUUGAGCCUACAACUCCUUAUAAAAACCCAGCUUCUCCUCAUCUCGAUGUCUUUCGGUCCCAGACCUUUUAAGGUCUAGCUACACAAGACACAGCCAGUUCCAGCAACAACACAACAGCAGCUACGUUGAGACUCACCAACUUCGUCCAACAGCAUUGAGCAACCUCCAUCUCUGUCGCCACCAUCGUCCUAUUGUCAACAUCUCUACAUACACAACUCGCCCAGGUUCCAAUACUCCAAUGUUCAUGAAUUACUUCAUCAUGGACCAACAGCGAAUAUACAACCUGCGAGAAAUCCUGUACCAAGUGACCAAGGCAGCAGCAUCACAGCCACAACUUCACAUACGCCAUGUACUGCAACCGGCUCUGCAUCAUCACCGCAACUUCUUGAUACAGUAUUUCAACUAUCAUGUACAAUUGACUACGAACUGGUAUUUAUCAUUCUUGUAUCUAUGAACUUAGCCCUCUUUCACUGUCUCUUCUUCAUUGCCAUCCUUUUAUGUUCUUAACACGCGCAUACAUCUAUGCCUACAUAGACACGCAUACAUCGUUCUUAUGACAGCCUGUCUAUUAUUCUGUAUAUAUGAUGCACACACAAUCACACAUG